rnacentral:rRNA from 1 species
GAUGAACGCUGGCGGCGUGCCUAAUACAUGCAAGUCGAGCGAACAGAUGAGGAGCUUGCUCCUCUGACGUUAGCGGCGGACGGGUGAGUAACACGUGGAUAACCUACCUAUAAGACUGGGAUAACUUCGGGAAACCGGAGCUAAUACCGGAUAAUAUCUUGAACCGCAUGGUUCAAUAGUGAAAGACGGCUUUGCUGUCACUUAUAGAUGGAUCCGCGCCGCAUUAGCUAGUUGGUAGGGUAACGGCUUACCAAGGCAACGAUGCGUAGCCGACCUGAGAGGGUGAUCGGCCACACUGGAACUGAGACACGGUCCAGACUCCUACGGGAGGCAGCAGUAGGGAAUCGUCCGCAAUGGGCGAAAGCCUGACGGAGCAACGCCGCGUGAGUGAUGAAGGUCUUCGGAUCGUAAAACUCUGUUAUUAGGGAAGAACAAAUGUGUAAGUAACUAUGCACGUCUUGACGGUACCUAAUCAGAAAGCCACGGCUAACUACGUG